rnacentral:rRNA from 1 species
GACGAACGCUGGCGGCGUGCUUAACACAUGCAAGUCGAACGGAAAGGCCCUGCUUUUGUGGGGUGCUCGAGUGGCGAACGGGUGAGUAACACGUGAGUAACCUGCCCUUGACUUUGGGAUAACUUCAGGAAACUGGGGCUAAUACCGGAGAGGAGAUCCUGCUGCAUGGUGGGGGUUGGAAAGUUUCGGCGGUUGGGGAUGGACUCGCGGCCUAUCAGCUUGUUGGUGGGGUAGUGGCUUACCAAGGCUUUGACGGGUAGCCGGCCUGAGAGGGUGACCGGCCACCUUGGGACUGCGAUACGGCCCAGACUCCUACGGGAGGCAGCAGUGGGGAAUAUUGCGCAAUGGGCGGACGCCUGAUGCAGCAACGCCGCGUGCGGGAUGACGUCCUUCGGGUUGUAAACCGCUUUCGCCUGUGACGAAGCGUGAGUGACGGUAAUGGGUAAAGAAGCACCGGCUAACUACGUG